rnacentral:lncRNA from 1 species
GGGGGAGUUGAAAAAAAAGAAAACCCAAAAACCAAAAGAGACAAUGUAGCACUGAAUUAAAUCUGCCCAUAGGCCUAUCAGCCUGAUCUUUUCAUGUGUGUAGCUUUAAGCCACUAGAGAGCCUACCGGUCUACAUGGUGUUGAGUACAGCAGGAGACUGCGUUGCCCUGCUGCAGUCGUGUGAGCCUGCACUCGAUGCUGCCUUUGUGACUAGCCUGUCUUAGGCGGCAGCAUUGAAGUGGCUACCGGCUUCCCCAGACCUCUCUUCAGUGUCUUCUCUCUGUCCCACCAGCUGCCCUUCCCCAGCACUGCAGGGUGGUGGGUUUUAGCACACGAGUGUGGGGAGAAGUGAGGAUGAGCUCUCCUUUGCCCUGCUCCCUUCCCCCAAGUCUACUGUAUAUUCUCUGGGCCGAGAGGUCGUGUAUUCAUGCUCGUGCACAUAUCUGAAGACAUUUCCUGUUGGGCUCUUCUGAUUUAUGCACAGAUGGUUCCCAGUGUUCCCACUGCUCCAGAACGGGGCCAUCCCAGCAGCUAGUCAGACUUCCGGCCAGUGUCCUAACUCCCGGCCUUUUGUUAAGCAAUAUUGAAAGAUCGGACUUUGUAUAAAGUAGCUUCCAAGUUUUAUAAUGCAUCAUUUUACAUCUUUCAUAAUUAAAAGCAGCACAAUAUGGUUGU